GACGAACGCUGGCGGCAGGCCUAACACAUGCAAGUCGAACGAAGUCUUCGGACUUAGUGGCGGACGGGUGAGUAACACGUGGGAACGUGCCUUUAGGUUCGGAAUAACUCAGGGAAACUUGUGCUAAUACCGAAUGUGCCCUUCGGGGGAAAGAUUUAUCGCCUUUAGAGCGGCCCGCGUCUGAUUAGCUAGUUGGUGAGGUAAAGGCUCACCAAGGCUACGAUCAGUAGCUGGUCUGAGAGGAUGACCAGCCACAUUGGGACUGAGACACGGCCCAAACUCCUACGGGAGGCAGCAGUGGGGAAUCUUGCGCAAUGGGCGAAAGCCUGACGCAGCCAUGCCGCGUGGAUGAUGAAGGUCUUAGGAUUGUAAAAUCCUUUCACCGGUGAAGAUAAUGACUGUAGCCGGAGAAGAAGCCCCGGCUAACUUCGUGCCAGCCGCCGCGGUAACAC
rnacentral:rRNA from 1 species